rnacentral:rRNA from 1 species
GAUGAACGCUGGCGGCGUGCCUAAUACAUGCAAGUCGAGCGAACGGAUGAGAAGCUUGCUCCUCUGAUGUUAGCGGCGGACGGGUGAGUAACACGUGGAUAACCUACCUAUAAGACUGGGAUAACUUCGGGAAACCGGAGCUAAUACCGGAUAAUAUUUUGAACCGCAUGGUUCAAAAGUGAAAGACGGUUUUGCUGUCACUUAUAGAUGGAUCCGCGCCGCAUUAGCUAGUUGGUAAGGUAACGGCUUACCAAGGCAACGAUGCAUAGCCGACCUGAGAGGGUGAUCGGCCACACUGGAACUGAGACACGGUCCAGACUCCUACGGGAGGCAGCAGUAGGGAAUCUUCCGCAAUGGGCGAAAGCCUGACGGAGCAACGCCGCGUGAGUGAUGAAGGUCUUCGGAUCGUAAAACUCUGUUAUUAGGGAAGAACAUAUGUGUAAGUAACUGUGCACAUCUUGACGGUACCUAAUCAGAAAGCCACGGCUAACUACGUG